AUACGGAGGGUGCAAGCGUUAAUCGGAAUCACUGGGCGUAAAGCGCUCGUAGGUGGCUUUUGUAAGUCAGGUGUGAAAGCCCACGGCUCAACCGUGGAAUUGCACUUGAUACUGCAUUGCUUGAGUUCGGGAGAGGGUAGUGGAAUUCCAGGUGUAGGAGUGAAAUCCGUAGAGAUCUGGAAGAACACCAGUGGCGAAGGCGGCUUACUGGUCCAUUACUGACGCUGAGGUGCGAAAGCGUGGGGAGC
rnacentral:rRNA from 1 species